rfam:Fukomys damarensis contig150575, whole genome shotgun sequence.
ACACCCCCUGUCAUUUUGCCAGUUGGACUUACAUCUUUAUUAGCCCUUCAAGUGGGAUGAAGGAAAUAUCUUUUUAAAACUCAAGCAAAUUGUUUGUCUUGUAAACUUUCAGGGAAAUAAAUU